rnacentral:rRNA from 1 species
CCUAAGGUAGCGAAAUUCCUUGUCAGGUAAGUUCUGACCCGCACGAAUGGCGUAAUGAUCUGGGAGCUGUCUCAACUGCCCGCCCGGCGAAAUUGUAGUACCGGUGAAGAUGCCGGUUACCCGCGACUAGACGGAAAGACCCCAUGGAGCUUUACUGUAGCUUAAUAUUGGAUUUCGGCAUUUCAUGUACAGGAUAGGUGGGAGACUAGGAAACAUAGGCGUCAGCUUAUGCGGAGUCGUCCUUGGGAUACCACUCUUGGAGUGCUGAAAUUCUAACCUGCAGCCCUGAAUCGGGUUGGGGGACAUUGUUAGGUGGGCAGUUUGACUGGGGCGGUCGCCUCCAAAAAGGUAACGGAGGCGCUCAAAGGUUGGCUCAGCAUGGAUGGAAACCAUGCCAUAGAGUGCAAACGCAAAAGCCAGCCUGACUGCGAGACUGACGGGUCGAGCAGAAACGAAAGUUGGAGUUAGUGAUCCGGCGGUAUGUGAAUGGAAAUGCCGUCGCUCAACGGAUAAAAGCUACCCUGGGGAUAACAGGCUGAUCUCCCCCAAGCGUCCACAGCGACGGGGAGGUUUGGCACCUCGAUGUCGGCUCGUCACAUCCUGGGGCUGAAUUCGGUCCCAAGGGUUCGGCUGUUCGCCGAUUAAAGUGGCACGCGAGCUGGGUUCAGAACGUCGUGAGACAGUUCGGUCCCUAUCUGUCGUGGGCGCAGGAUAUUUGAAAGGAGCUGUCCCUAGUACGAGAGGACCGGGAUGGACGCACCUCUGGUGCACCAGUUGUCACGCCAGUGGCACAGCUGGGCAGCUAAGUGCGGAUCGGAUAAACGCUGAAAGCAUCUAAGCGUGAAGCCGUCCUUAAGAUAAGAUAUCCCACUUUUAAGUUAAGACCCCUUGUAGACUACGAGGUUGAUAGGUCUAAGGUGUAAGUUGUGUGAGCAAUUUAGCCAGCAGAUACUAAUCGGUCGAGGGCUUAAACCU